UUAAGAUAGACAACAUAUUUUUUUUUUAAUAAUUGAGUAUCCAACAAUUAACGGCAAUGAUUUUCACAAUUUUCUUCUCUUUCAAUACACUCUUUUUUCAUUUUUAUUAUCCAAAAUUAUAAAAAAAAAUCUUGUAUUUACAUUUUUCGAUUUUCUGUUGUUCAGAACUCCUAACUACAAACAAUGACACCUUCGUAAUUUUAAAAAUAUAGAUAAUGCAUUUUGUGUAAUGCAUAUUUGCUUACAUGUAUUG
rnacentral:lncRNA from 1 species